GUUUCCGUUAAAUAUUGCCAUUUUUAGAUAUAUCGGUCCCCCUUUUCUCGGCUACUGUCAAAGCGAGACGUUUUUUUUUUUAUUAUGAUAGCUAGCGAGGCAUGAAGUUCAUAUGAUUCAAUCCAAAUUAUCCUCAAAGUGCGGUAAAAAUCUUGAAUUGAUGCAAUUUUGUUCGCCUUGAAAUCGACGGAACAUAUUUAGUCAAAAUUCUUUUUAAAAAAA
rnacentral:lncRNA from 1 species